rnacentral:rRNA from 1 species
UACGUAGGGGGCUAGCGUUGCUCGGAAUGACUGGGAGGAAAGGGCGCGUAGGCGGUUCGUACAGUCAGAUGUGAAAUUCCUGGGCUCAACCUGGGGGCUGCAUUUGAUACGUGCGGACUUGAGUUCGGAAGAGGGUCGUGGAAUUCCCAGUGUAGAGGUGAAAUUCGUAGAUAUUGGGAAGAACACCGGUGGCGAAGGCGGCGACCUGGUCCGAUACUGACGCUGAGGCGCGAAAGCCAGGGGAGCGAACGGG